rnacentral:rRNA from 1 species
UUGACCUCGGAUCAGGCAGGGAUACCCGCUGAACUUAAGCAUAUCAAUAAGCGGAGGAAAAGAAACCAACAGGGAUUGCCUCAGUAACGGCGAGUGAAGCGGCAACAGCUCAAAUUUGAAAUCUGGCUCUUUUAGGGUCCGAGUUGUAAUUUGUAGAGGAUGCUUCGGCGUCGGCUCCGGUCUAAGUUCCUUGGAACAGGACGUCAUAGAGGUGAGAAUCCGUAUGUGAUCGGGUGGCCCUUGCCAUGUGAAGCUCCUUCCACAAGUCGAGUUGUUGGAAUGCAGCUCUAAUGGG